rnacentral:rRNA from 1 species
AUUAAAAACCAAUUGCCCUCCCGGGGCUCACUGGUGAUUCAUGAUAACUUCUCGAAUCGCAUGSCCUUGCGCCGGCGAUGGUUCAUUCAAAUUUCUUUCCCUACCAACUUUCGAUGUUUGGGUAUUGGCCAAACAUGGUUGCAACGGGUAACGGAGGGUUAGGGCUCGACCCCGGAGAAGGAGCCUGAGAAACGGCUACUACAUCCAAGGAAGGCAGCAGGCGCGCAAAUUACCCAAUCCCGACUCGGGGAGGUAGUGACAAUAAAUACUGAUACAGGGCUCUUUUGGGUCUUGUAAUUGGAAUGAGUACAAUUUAAAUCCCUUAACGAGGAACAAUUGGAGGGCAAGUCUGGUGCCAGCAGCCGCGGUAAUUCCAGCUCCAAUAGCGUAGAUUAAAGUUGUUGCAGUUAAAAAGCUCGUAGUUGAACCUUGGGCCCGUCCUGCCGGUCCGCCUCACCGCGAGUACUGGUCCGGAUGGGCCUUUCYUUCUGGGGAAUCCCAUGGCCUUCACUGGCUGUGKC